UUGUGAUUGGCUGGCGUACAAAACAAACCGGCGCUCAUUGGUUGAGAGCACCUACUGGGGUGGAAGACAAACAAUGAGGAAAUUUGGAUGAGAUGCCUGAAGGGUUUUGUCACUCAGUUUGUUAGCUAUCUUCUUCAGGAAUGCAGGCCUGAGCCAGCUGUGUGUCCUAUCCCGGCCCAGCUGUGUUGAUCUAACGCGCCAGUCCCAGACUUGCUGGCGCCAGCCUCCCGACGUCAUCCAUUCACCCCGACGCGCACUCCCCUCUCUGGCAGACGGCCCGCCCUCCCCGAAGAAUCAUCGGAGCGAAGAGGCUCAGAGGCGCUCGGAGAUCUGAUUGGCUGAGAGGCACUGCCAGUCACGGAUGGAACCUCCGCUCCACAGUCCUCUUUGGAUCUGCAGUUAUAUCCAGCUGAAUUAGUUGGGAAAACUUUGAUAUAAGAGGCUAUGAGAUGGCAGUAAACACCCCUCUGCUCUGGAAGCUAAACAAAUAAAACAAGUAACUUUAUACUGAGACGUUCCUAAAUAAAGUACAAUACACUUCUU